rnacentral:rRNA from 1 species
AACGAACGCUGGCGGCAGGCCUAACACAUGCAAGUCGAGCGAGGACUUCGGUCCUAGCGGCGGACGGGUGAGUAACGCGUGGGAACGUGCCCUUUGCUUCGGAAUAGCCCUGGGAAACUGGGCGUAAUACCGGAUGAGCCCUUUGGGGGAAAGAUUUGGCGGCGGGGGAUCGGCCCGCGUUGGAUUAGGUAGUUGGUGGGGUAGUGGCCUACCAAGCCGACGAUCGGUAGCUGGUUUGAUAGGAUGAUCGGCCACACUGGGAGUGAGACACGGCCCAGACUCAUACGGGAGGGAGGAGUGGGGAAGAGAGUAGAAGGGGCGGGGGAAAGAUGCAGCAACGCCGCGUGCGGGAUGAAGGAAGGCGGGUUGUGUAGAAAAUUCGCCUGUGACGAAGAGAGAAUGACGGUAAAGGGUAAAGAAGCCCCGGCUAACUCCGUG